rnacentral:rRNA from 1 species
CCUACGGGAGGCAGCAGUAGGGAAUAUUGGGCAAUGGAGGCAACUCUGACCCAGCCAUGCCGCGUGCAGGAUGAAGGCGUUAUGCGUUGUAAACUGCUUUUAUAUAGGAAGAAAGAGUUCUUGCGAGAACAGUUGACGGUACUAUAUGAAUAAGCACCGGCUAACUCCGUGCCAGCAGCCGCGGUAAUACGGAGGGUGCAAGCGUUGUCCGGAUUUAUUGGGUUUAAAGGGUGCGUAGGCGGUUUAUUAAGUCAGUGGUGAAAGACGGUCGCUCAACGAUUGCAGUGCCAUUGAUACUGGUAGACUUGAGUGAGAUUGAGGUAGCUGGAAUGGAUAGUGUAGCGGUGAAAUGCAUAGAUAUUAUCCAGAACACCAAUUGCGUAGGCAAGUUACUAAGUCUCAACUGACGCUGAGGCACGAAAGUGUGGGUAUCAAACAGGAUUAGAUACCCUGGUAGUCCACACUGUAAACGAUGAUAACUAACUGUUGGCUUUCGGGUCAGUGGUACAGAGAAAUCGUUAAGUUAUCCUAACGUGGUAGUUAGCGCGACGUUAGAACGAAGAGAGUGAGGNGNGAGAGNGCGAGGACGACGACGAGGAGGAGG